CACGUAGGGGGCGAGCGUUGUCCGGAUUUAUUGGGCGUAAAGAGCUCGUAGGCGGCUCAGUAAGUCAGGUGUGAAAACUCCAGGCUCAACCUGGAGACGCCACCUGAUACUGCUGUGGCUAGAGUCCGGUAGGGGAGCAUGGAAUUCCUGGUGUAGAGGUGAAAUGCGCAGAUAUCAGGAGGAACACCAGUGGCGAAGGCGGUGCUCUGGGCCGGAACUGACGCUGAGGAGCGAAAGCGUGGGGAGCAAACAGG
rnacentral:rRNA from 1 species